rnacentral:rRNA from 1 species
CCUACGGGACGCAGCAGUGAGGAAUAUUGGUCAAUGGGCUAAGGCCUGAACCAGCCAAGUCGCGUGAGGGAAGACGGUCCUAUGGAUUGUAAACCUCUUUUGUCGGGGAGCAGCGAGGCCACGUGUGGCCGAAGUGAGAGUACCCGAAGAAAAAGCAUCGGCUAACUCCGUGCCAGCAGCCGCGGUAAUACGGAGGAUGCGAGCGUUAUCCGGAUUUACUGGGUGUAAAGGGAGCGUAGACGGCGCGGCAAGUCUGAAGUGAAAGGCAGGGGCUUAACCCCUGAACUGCUUUGGAAACUGCCAUG